rnacentral:rRNA from 1 species
GCGGUAAUUCCAGCUCUGUAAGCGUAUACCAAAGUUGUUGCAGUUAAAACGCUCGUAGUCGGAUUUUGGCGUGGUACUGCUGAAGUCCCUGAUUGGGUUCUGAGGUUAGUCCCGCCUUUGUGGAUGGGGGCGUGGUGGUGCUUAACUGUAUUGCCACGUUUUCGCCACUGUUUACUGUGAAAAAAUUAGAGUGUUCAAAGCGAGCGAUUGCCAUGAAUACAUUAGCAUGGAAUAAUAGAAUAGGACCUGAUCCUGUUUUGUUGGUUUGUCGGUAUUAGGUAAUGAUUAAGAGGGACGGUCGGGGGCAUUUGUAUUCCAGGGUUAGAGGUGAAAUUCUCGGAUU